UAAAUUGAAGCCCGCUGGCUUGGGUUUUUAGUUGUUAACUAAAGGUUACGGGAUCCGAGGCCCGUCGAUCUAG
rnacentral:tRNA from 1 species